rnacentral:misc_RNA from 1 species
GUAGGUGAACCUGCGGAAGGAUCAUUAAAAGGUUUAUCUGGGGGUGGGUAACACCCUCCCGGAAAACUCCACCCUUGUAUAUUAUUACUUGUUGCUUUGGUGGGCCGCGAGAUUGCCUAGCGAUUGAGCACCGGCUUCGGCUGGAGAGCGCCUGCCAGAGGACCAAACUCUGUCAUUUAUGUCGUCUGAUUACUAUUUAAUAGUUAAAACUUUCAACAACGGAUCUCUUGGUUCUG